rnacentral:rRNA from 1 species
AGAGUUUGAUUCUGGCUCAGAACGAACGCUGGCGGCGUGGAUAAGACAUGCAAGUCGAACGAGAGAAUUGCUAGCUUGCUAAUAAUUCUCUAGUGGCGCACGGGUGAGUAACACGUGAGUAACCUGCCCCCGAGAGCGGGAUAGCCCUGGGAAACUGGGAUUAAUACCGCAUAGUAUCGAAAGAUUAAAGCAGCAAUGCGCUUGGGGAUGGGCUCGCGGCCUAUUAGUUAGUUGGUGAGGUAACGGCUCACCAAGGCGAUGACGGGUAGCCGGUCUGAGAGGAUGUCCGGCCACACUGGAACUGAGACACGGUCCAGACACCUACGGGUGGCAGCAGUCGAGAAUCAUUCACAAUGGGGGAAACCCUGAUGGUGCGACGCCGCGUGGGGGAAUGAAGGUCUUCGGAUUGUAAACCCCUGUCAUGUGGGAGCAAAUUAAAAAGAUAGUACCACAAGAGGAAGAGACGGCUAACUCUGUGCCAGCAGCCGCGGUAAUACAGAGGUCUCAAGCGUUGUUCGGAAUCACUGGGCGUAAAGCGUGCGUAGGCUGUUUCGUAAGUCGUGUGUGAAAGGCGCGGGCUCAACCCGCGGACGGCACAUGAUACUGCGAGACUAGAGUAAUGGAGGGGGAACCGGAAUUCUCGGUGUAGCAGUGAAAUGCGUAGAUAUCGAGAGGAACACUCGUGGCGAAGGCGGGUUCCUGGACAUUAACUGACGCUGAGGCACGAAGGCCAGGGGAGCGAAAGGGAUUAGAUACCCCUGUAGUCCUGGCAGUAAACGGUGCACGCUUGGUGUGCGGGGAAUCGACCCCCUGCGUGCCGGAGCUAACGCGUUAAGCGUGCCGCCUGGGGAGUACGGUCGCAAGAUUAAAACUCAAAGAAAUUGACGGGGACCCGCACAAGCGGUGGAGCAUGUGGCUUAAUUCGAAGCAACGCGAAGAACCUUACCUGGGCU